GGGGUGUAUAGCUUAUUUAUUUACAAUAUUGCCCAUCAAUCUUUAUUCUGGUGAGCUAUUAGUGACAACCGGAGUCUCUGAUCUGAAAUCCCAAAUUAAGCACUUGACCCGGCUCAGUUUUACAAGAAGACUAGCUUCUGAGUUUGUUAGAAAGCCAAACUGUGUGAGUUGAAUGCAGAAAGUAGCUUUACUACUAGUUUGGUUUUAAAGAAUAUGCCACUUAAUUAUAUUUAUCCAGCAUUGUGCAAAUCAGUAGCGUAAUCACUGGACUCUGAACACUAAACCUUUGCGACAGCUCUGGUGUAAUUUAGGCUUUUGAUAUCAUAAUAAACCUAGGCUGGUGAAUCCUGUGAAUUCUGUAAUUGUUCAUUGUCAAGGAGUAUGAACUACAAUACAUUUAAAAUCAGUUUCAAAUCAGUG